CGUGAGUGAUGAAGGCUUUCGGGUCGUAAAGCUCUGUCAAGUGGGAAGAACCUGUUAGAUACUAAUACCAUCUAACACUGACGGUACCACUAAAGGAAGCACCGGCUAACUCCGUGCCAGCAGCCGCGGUAAUACGGGGGGUGCAAGCGUUAUUCGGAAUUAUUGGGCGUAAAGGGCGCGUAGGCGGUCUCUAAAGUCAGAUGUGAAAGCCCGGGGCUUAACCCCGGAAGUGCAUUUGAAACUUAGGGACUUGAGUAUGGGAGAGGGAAGUGGAAUUCCUGGUGUAGCGGUGAAAUGCGUAGAUAUCAGGAGGAACACCAGUGGCGAAGGCGACUUCCUGGACCAAUACUGACGCUGAGGCGCGAAGGCGUGGGGAGCAAACAGGAUUAGAUACCCUGGUAGUCCACGCAGUAAACGGUGAACACUAGGUGUAGCGGGUAUUGACCCCUGCUGUGCCGCAGCUAACGCAUUAA
rnacentral:rRNA from 1 species